CCGGUGUGUGUGUGUGUCUCUGCCGAAUGACCUCUCCGCCCCGGCGGCGAAAAGCCGGAGGAGGGGUAACCUCGCGUGUUUCGGCCCGCCGUGGUAAAUUGUGAUGGUGGAGGUGGAGGUGGUGGUGGUGGUGGUGCGCGUGGCAGUGCGUGUGGUUCGCGGCCCCUCAGCUGUGCGUCCUUGGUGUGACCUGAAGCGGAAGGGGCCGGGCGACGAGGGGGGCGACGUAGGUCUAGCCUGGGCCUGACUCUAACAACGGUCCUCAGGUGUGAACCUUCUUAAUCGCCUCGUCAUCCGCUUUUUGAACGGGUCCCACACUUGUUUACGUCAUUUUGAACUUUGUUCUUCGAGACUAGACGACGGCCGUAAGACUUCAACGAGACCUCGAUCGUCACGUAGGAAGGUGCGACCUUCAUGGUCUAAGACAAGAUCUCCUCAACGACCCGUAUCUCUACCGUCUGCUAGGAUUAGUUUUGAAGCCCGGCAAAAGCGUCGGUAAGACGUCGGUCUUACACCAAAGUAAAGUCUGCACGCGCUGCGGGUCGCCCAGCCCUCCGUCGUACGGCCACAUGGAUCUGACGAGGUCGUCGUACCCCAGAUUGUACCCCUACUACUUGUGGUGCGGAAGUCAUCGACAGAGGUGUUCAAGUAGGUUGUACCAACGACUUAGACGCGUCUUGGAGUUUAUACCUCCUGGGGAUCGACUUUCGACCAGCGUAGAGCUCUAGGUUCACGACUUUCUAACGGAUCUAUCUAUACACUUACUUGUACCAUAGUACUUCAUGUAUUUCUAUCGGCGAAGGGAUGGUUGGUUCUGCCACUCCCUACAGCGCUACUCUACGGUUACCUACCCCUUGUUUGUUUGAUGUUCUGCCGCCUCCGGACGUCUUGUAGUAUCGUCUUUUUACUUUCUAUCUUUCCUAUUUUACCACCCCGGAAGUAGGACCCCAUGGUGAGUAGGACAAGUCUGUCUAUGUCCUCAGAGAAGGAAACACGGCGUAGUACGGUAAGUUUUGUCAGUUAUAGAUAGACCUCGGAGACUCUACCUAGCAUAUCAUGUCGAACAUGACCUUCUUUUAUUAGCCGAAGAACGAGUCUAUCUGUGUUUAUAAGUUUGUAAAGUCCGAGUUUUAUUGUUGCUAGAGAAGUUAGCGCACUCUUCCUUGUAACUACCGGAAAACUUUUAGUACUCGGUUUACGGCCCUUUUUACUCAGUCUACGGAGUCAACCCUCAACGCCACUUACUUUUGGAACGGUCAAUGAACGAGGGUCUAGAAUGUUACCGUGUUCAAGAACCUUUAUCGGUAAACUUCCUCCUCGGUUCUCCUACCACUCAGCGUCGGUUUCGUCCAGUGUCUACUCGGUCUAUGACUUUGAAGUAGCCAUCAAGCUGCUCAAUAUCCUUCUAUUUAUGACGAAGUCGUACAUGCGGCCUACCGCUGCUUAUCUCAGUGGUUCCUUGGAACAAAGGAGAUAGACCUUCGUUUCCUCUCCUUUAA
rnacentral:rRNA from 1 species